AUGGAUUGUGAGCUGUAAGUAUCAUGUAAUAUUAAUACACUUGGCAUUAUUUGAAAAAUAAGAUAAAACUGAUUGCUAUUAAUCGUGUCAGUUUUUACAUGUACUUUAGCUUCAAAUUCAUAGUUGAUCCAAAUUUUUCAUCCGUAUUUCGAUUCUCCGAUUUUCUUUGAUGCAGGAACUGUUAGAAGAUGAAGUGUCGGCGAAGAACACUUAAGGAGUAGUUGAAAUUCAAGUUGGAGAAGAUCAAUGCAAAACUGAAAGAUCUGCAGUAGAAUAAUGCGGACAUCCUAAAAGACAAUAAAAGAAUGGUUGAGAGUCCCAAAGAUGCAGAAACAAAUGCACAGAUGAAGCAGCUGCUAACAGAUUUCAAAUGAUAUGCUCUCUCAUUCUCCUAAAGAGACCUGGCAAGAGAAGUAGCUUCAGAUUUGGAUACUAUCGUAUGUGAUAGAAGUUGAUAACGAUGUCAAUGCAAAGAUUGACAAAGUGGCACUACUAAAAAAAAGACAAAAAUUGACCAUAGAAAACUGACCACAAAUUGUGGUCGGAAAAAAUCGGCCACUAGUGGUCGGAUUUUAAUUUUUUUAUUUUCUUUUCUUUUAAAAAAGUCACCACAAGUGGUAGAUUUUUUAUUUUAAAAAAUCAAAAUAAUUAUGAAAAUAAUUUUGGUAUUAAUUAUUAUUUAUUUUGUAAAUAAAAAAAAAUAAAAAAGCAAAAAAACCGACCACUAGUGGUUGUUUUUUUGAAAACAAAUAAUUAAAAAAUAUAUAAAAAACUGACCACAAGUAGUCGAUUUUUUGAUUAUUUUUUAAUUAUUUAUUUUUCAAAAAACAGACUAUUGUGGUCGGUAUUUUGGUUUCUUUAUUUUUUUUUUAAAAACCGACCACUUAUAUUUUAAAAAAUUAUAAUAAUUAAUUAAAUAAUUUUAUUAUUAUUUUUUUAUUAUUUUUGUUUUUAAAAAGCCACCACAAAUGGUCGAUUUUAUAUUUUAAACUAGUGAGAAGAAGCCCAUGCAAAGCACGGGCCCAACAUCUAUUAUAAAUUAAUAUUAUAAUAAUAAUCAUAUCAAUUAAUGUGACAUAUUUUGAAUUUUAAAAAUUAAAUAAAUUUAUUUUGUUAAGUAAUUUUUGCAUAUAUUCUUAAAAUAUAUUAAAUUAUCAAUUAUUAUGAUUUAUUAUUCAAAUAUAUAAUUUUAUUUCAAAAAUUUAAUUCACGAUCAAAAUUAAACUCUACAAAUGUAUAAAUUAAUAAAGAGCCUGAAAAUCAAAUUCGAUGGGCCUAUAUUACUGUUUUUUAGAUAACACGGGUUCAGUAUAUGUUAUAUUUUUAUCUCAAACAAUGUGAUCUAAAUAGAAUUUAGAUAAUCAUACUUUUAAUACGUUUUUAGAUAUUUUAAGUUGUUAACUAUUGUAGUUUAUAAUAUUUUUUUUGUUUUCAAAUAAUAUAUGUUACUCUCCUUGUCCAAA